CUACUAGAAAGUUUUGUAGAGCACUAGAGCAAACAUGCAGAGCAGCAGCAUAUAGUGAAUGUCCAAGGUAUAAAAACACACGUUUUCACAAGAAGUGAAAUUUCCCAUUGAUACCAAAAUAUUGAUAUAUCAGAAAAUUCUCACUGCAUUACACUGAAGUUACUAUAGUAUAUUAUGUUCAGAAGCAAUAUGAAUAGAAUAAUAUACAGUCUCUAACGCAACUAUAGGAUGGCCACAAAUUAUUCACCACUUUUCUAACUUACAUAAAUCACAAAGUUUUAGAGAUAUCGUGUAACGGAUUGCGCUGUUCGAAAAAACCGGUGAAAACAAUUAAAGUUAAUUGAUUGCCCGGUCGAUAGUGGCGCUGCUGAAAUGUACACAGCCGACGAACGCAAAACGCAAAAUGCCAAUUUCCUCCAAGGGAAAGGUAAUGUCUGUAUUGUGGUACUGAGAGACAAAAUCAGUUAUUGAAGUGCAAAGACGUUACCGUCGCGAAUAUGGAAAACAAGCACCUGAAAGACAGUCCAUCAAGCGAUGGCCGGAACAGUUUCAAGAGACAGUCUUGCAAAUGGCACACCUCCAACCAAACGUUUUCUUUCAACAAGAUGGUGCGCAUCCACACUGGGGCCGAACAGAUGGAUUGGGCCCCCUCGCAAUCCCGAUAUAACCCCACUGGGCCUUUUUCUUUUGAGGUUAUGUAAAGGACCUGGUAUUCCGUUCAAAAGUUGGUACUGUGGUUGCAGUUGCUUCUUUGACACCCCAGAUGCUGGAAAAAACAUGGCGUGAAAUCGAGUACUGUUUGGACACUUACACAUAUUGAACUUGAUCAGUUGUUAUUUCAAGCAAAGCAAAGCAAUUCUCUGUAUCUCGUAUACUUUGUUUUUUGUGUGUACAUGAAAUGUGGUGAAUAAUUUAUGGCCACUCUGUACUAUAGAAAGGUAAAUGGUGGAAGGCAGAAAAGAAAAUUCAGGAAAAAUACAAAGCACUUUCUAGUGUGAUGGCAUUUCUAUAAUUUCUAUGAUUAUUAAACUUUCAUGCAACUAUGUUACUUUAUUCAGUAAAUAAUAUCAAUACAUUCAAUCCACAAACUAGUAAUUUAGAGACUAUUACUGAUAUAUUUGGUAUUCAUAAGGACCAAGAGCUUAACUAAAGACAAAACUUUAGGUUCUUUCUGUAAGAAAAUGAACAAAUAACUUAAAAACCUACAACAGUGCAAUUUGUCUAUCAAUACAGAUUUCUGGAGGGUUUUUUUAUAUAAUAAUUAUGAAACACACUGGUAACACAUUCAUAAUGUAUAAGUCAAUAACAAGAAUUAAUUCAAUGUUAUCAUUUACUAAGUUAAAAUAAAUUCAGAUUCAAUUAUAUUUUUGUAAAAUCAGUUUUAUGGUAUUCACAUUCAAAAGUAUCAUUUUAAUACAGAGAACAAUUUUACUUUA